AUUAAACGCUGGCGGCAUGCCUUACACAUGCAAGUCGAACGGCAGCACGGGGGCAACCCUGGUGGCGAGUGGCGAACGGGUGAGUAAAGCAUCGGAACGUGCCCUGGAGUGGGGGAUAACGUAGCGAAAGUUACGCUAAUACCGCAUAUUCUGUGAGCAGGAAAGCAGGGGAUCGCAAGACCUUGCGCUCUGGGAGCGGCCGAUGUCGGAUUAGCUAGUUGGUGGGGUAAAGGCCUACCAAGGCGACGAUCCGUAGCGGGUCUGAGAAGAUGAUCCGCCACACUGGGACUGAGACACGGCCCAGACUCCUACGGGAGGCAGCAGUGGGGAAUUUUGGACAAUGGGCGAAAGCCUGAUCCAGCCAUGCCGCGUGAGUGAAGAAGGCCUGG
rnacentral:rRNA from 1 species